UACGUAGGGUGCAAGCGUUGUCCGGAAUUAUUGGGCGUAAAGAGCUCGUAGGCGGUUUGUCGCGUCUGCUGUGAAAACUCGGGGCUUAACUCCGGGCUUGCAGUGGAUACGGACAGACUAGAGGUAGGUAGGGGAGAAUGGAAUUCCCGGUGUAGCGGUGAAAUGCGCAGAUAUCGGGAGGAACACCGGUGGCGAAGGCGGUUCUCUGGGCCUUACCUGACGCUGAGGAGCGAAAGCGUGGGGAGCGAACAGG
rnacentral:rRNA from 1 species